rnacentral:rRNA from 1 species
AUUGAACGCUGGCGGAAUGCUUUACACAUGCAAGUCGAACGGCAGCACGGGGGCAGCCCUGGUGGCGAGUGGCGAACGGGUGAGCAAUACAUCGGAACGUGCCCAGUUGGGGGGGAGAACGCAGCGAAAGCUGUGCUAAUACCGCAUACGAUCGAUGGAUGAAAGCGGGGGACUCGCAAUGGCCGCGCGCGGUUGGGGCGGCCGAGAUCAGAUUAGGUAGUUGGUGGGGUAAAGGCCUACCAAGCCUGCGAUCUGUAGCUGGUCUGAGAGGACGACCAGCCACACUGGAACUGAGACACGGUCCAGACUCCUACGGGAGGCAGCAGUGGGGAAUUUUGGACAAUGGGCGCAAGCCUGAUCCAGCAAUGCCGCGUGCAGGAUGAAGGCCUUCGGGUUGUAAACUGCUUUUGUACGGAACGAAAAGCCUCUGGUUAAUACCUGGGGUUGAUGACGGUACCGUAAGAAUAAGCACCGGCUAACUACGUGCCAGCAGCCGCCGUAAUAC